rnacentral:rRNA from 1 species
UUGAACGCUGGCGGCAGGCCUAACCCCUGCCCGUCGAGCGGAUGAAGGGAGCUUGCUCCUGGAUUCAGCGGCGGACGGGUGAGUAAUGCCUAGGAAUCUGCCUGGUAGUGGGGGAUAACGUCCGGAAACGGGCGCUAAUACCGCAUACGUCCUGAGGGAGAAAGUGGGGGAUCUUCGGACCUCACGCUAUCAGAUGAGCCUAGGUCGGAUUAGCUAGUUGGUGGGGUAAAGGCCUACCAAGGCGACGAUCCGUAACUGGUCUGAGAGGAUGAUCAGUCACACUGGAACUGAGACACGGUCCAGACUCCUACGGGAGGCAGAAGUGGGGAAUAUUGGACAAUGGGCGAAAGCCUGAUCCAGCCAUGCCGCGUGUGUGAAGAAGGUCUUCGGAUUGUAAAGCACUUUAAGUUGGGAGGAAGGGCAGUAAGUUAAUACCUUGCUGUUUGGACGUUACCAACAGAAUAAGCACCGGCUAACUUCGG